rnacentral:rRNA from 3 species
GGGUUGUGAGGUUAAGCGACUAAGCGUACACGGUGGAUGCCCUGGCAGUCAGAGGCGAUGAAGGGCGUGCUAAUCUGCGAUAAGCGCCGGUAAGGUGAUAUGAACCGUUAUAACCGGCGAUACCCGAAUGGGGAAACCCAGUGUGACUCGUCACACUAUCAUUAACUGAAUCCAUAGGUUAAUGAGGCGAACCGGGGGAACUGAAACAUCUAAGUACCCCGAGGAAAAGAAAUCAACCGAGAUUCCCCCAGUAGCGGCGAGCGAACGGGGAGGAGCCCAGAGCCUGAAUCAGCAUGUGUGUUAGUGGAAGCGUCUGGAAAGGCGCGCGAUACAGGGUGACAGCCCCGUACACAAAAGCGCAUGUGCUGUGAGCUCGAUGAGUAGGGCGGGACACGUGGUAUCCUGUCUGAAUAUGGGGGGACCAUCCUCCAAGGCUAAAUACUCCUGACUGACCGAUAGUGAACCAGUACCGUGAGGGAAAGGCGAAAAGAACCCCGGCGAGGGGAGUGAAAAAGAACCUGAAACCGUGUACGUACAAGCAGUGGGAGCCCCACCACCAAAGCAUUUGCUGUACCGCGUUGACGGAGCGAAGCGACGUCAAACCGAUAAAACAGCAGUGUAAAGUGAGCCGCAGGGCGCUUUGCGCGACAGCGCAAAGGCAGGCGG